UAGAGUUUGAUCCUGGCUCAGAAUCAACGCUGGCGGCGCGCUUAACACAUGCAAGUCGAACGAGAAAGGGGAGCAAUCCCUGAGUAAAGUGGCGUACGGGUGAGUAACACGUGGGUAAUCUGCUCUUUGGAGGGGAAUAACCCUGGGAAACCGGGGCUAAUACCGCAUAAGCCUGGAAAGGGAAAGGUCGCAAGAUCGCCGAAGAAGGAGCCCGCGGCUGAUUAGCUAGUUGGUGGGGUAAAGGCUCACCAAGGCGAAGAUCGGUAGCCGGCCUGAGAGGGCACACGGCCACACUGGCACUGAAACACGGGCCAGACUCCUACGGGAGGCAGCAGUGGGGAAUCUUGCACAAUGGGGGAAACCCUGAUGCAGCGACGCCGCGUGAGCGAUGAAGCCCUUCGGGGUGUAAAGCUCUUUCGGCCCGAACGAUAAUGACGGUACGGGAAGAAGAAGCUGCGGCUAACUACGUGCCAGCAGCCGCGGUAAUACGUAGGGGGCAAGCGUUGUCCGGAUUUACUGGGCGUAAAGAGCGUGUAGGCGGCCAAGCAGGUCUGUUGUGAAAACUGGAGGCUCAACUUCCAGACGUCGACAGAAACCGCUUGGCUAGAGUCCGGAAGAGGAGAGUGGAAUUCCUGGUGUAGCGGUGAAAUGCGCAGAUAUCAGGAAGAACACCAAUGGCGAAGGCAGCUCUCUGGGACGGUACUGACGCUGAGACGCGAAAGCGUGGGGAGCGAACAGGAUUAGAUACCCUGGUAGUCCACGCCGUAAACGAUGGGUGCUAGGUGUGGGAGGUGUCGACUCCUUCCGUGCCGCAGCUAACGCAUUAAGCACCCCGCCUGGGGAGUACGGCCGCAAGGCUAAAACUCAAAGGAAUUGACGGGGCCCCGCACAAGCAGCGGAGCAUGUUGUUUAAUUCGAUGCAACCGCGAAGAACCUUACCAGGGCUUGACAUGCACUGGAAAACCGUAGAAAUACGGUCCUCCUUCGGGACUAGUGCACAGGUGGUGCAUGGCUGUCGUCAGCUCGUGUCGUGAGAUGUUGGGUUAAGUCCCGCAACGAGCGCAACCCCUGUCCCAUGUUGCCAGCGAGUUAUGUCGGGGACUCAUGGGAAACUGCCGGUGACAAAUCGGAGGAAGGUGGGGAUGAUGUCAAGUCAUCAUGCCCCUUAUGUCCUGGGCUACAAACGUGCUACAUUGGCCGGUACAAAGGGCUGCAAACUCGCGAGGGUGAGCGAAUCCCAAAAAGCCGGUCCCGGUUCGGAUUGAAGGCUGAAACUCGCCUUCAUGAAGGCGGAGUUGCUAGUAAUCGCGGAUCAGCAACGCCGCGGUGAAUACGUACACGGGGCUUGUACACACCGCCCGUCACACCACGAAAGUCGGCAAUACCCGAAGCCGGUGAGCUAACCGCAAGGAGGCAGCCGUCGAAGGUAGGGUCGAUGAUUGGGGUGAAGUCGUAACAAGGUAACCGUA
rnacentral:rRNA from 1 species